rnacentral:misc_RNA from 1 species
CUGAGAGAGAAGGUGUAACACCGCUCUAUCUUGUGUGAACCGUCCAUCGUACUCGGUGGUUGUCUCAUUUCUUGAGGCUCCACCGAACUGGCUUGCGCCUCUUUGUGAGGUUCUUGCCAAUGACAAACACUUUAUUCUUAUUUAAUGACUGAAACUCUUUCACUGUGUGAAAAUACAAUGAAAAA